GUUAUUAAAUGUUGGUCACGGCUAUGUGUCGGUAAGGUUGAAGAGUGUUAUAUUUUGAAAGGGUUCCUAUGCGUUGAAAGUGUCACCAUGCGUUGGAAGUGAAGCUGGAACUUGGCCGGGAGUUGUCCUUGACCUAUCAUGCGUUGGUAAGGCUAAUUGUGUUGGAGAGUUGCUGUAUGUGAUGGACUGCAGCUAUGCGUUGAAGGUUGUUG
rnacentral:misc_RNA from 1 species